rnacentral:tRNA from 1 species
GCGAGGGUUGCCGAGCUUGGUCAAAGGCGCUGGCUUGAGGGGCCAGUUUCGUAGGAAUUCUUGGGUUCAAAUCCCAUCCCUCGCA